rnacentral:ncRNA from 1 species
AUGAAAACUGGAAAAUGGCACAAUACAAGAAACCUCACCGAGCCCAAACAUGGAAAUGAUUGACAGAUUGAGAGCUCCUUCAUGAUUCUGUGAACUGUGGUGCACAGCCAUUCUUAGUUGGUGGAGUGAUUGGUCUGGUUAAUUCUGAUAAUGAAUGAGACUUUGGCAUGCUUACUGGUUAUGCGACCCCUGAGUGGUUGGUGUCCAACUUGUUAGUGGAACAAGUGGCAUUCAGUCACUCAAGAUUUAGCAAUAACAGGCCUAUGAUACCAUUAGAUAUCCAUGAAUGCACACGUGCUACACUGACUGGUUCAGUGUGUGUCUAACCUAUACUGACAGGUGCCGGUAACCUGUUGAACUCCAUUCAUGAUGGGAAUCAGGGACUGCAAUUAUUCCCCAUGAACAAGGAAUUCCCUGCAAGUUUGGGUCAUAAGCUCCAGUUGAUUAAGUCC